rnacentral:rRNA from 1 species
AAUUGACACAGGGAGGUAGUGACAAGAAAUAACAAUACGGGGCUUAAAGUCUUGUAAUUGGAAUGAUGGGAAUUUAAACCUCUUCCAGAGUAUCAAUUGGAGGGCAAGUCUGGUGCCAGCAGCCGCGGUAAUUCCAGCUCCAAUAGCGUAUAUUAAAAUUGUUGCAGUUAAAAAGCUCGUAGUUGAAUUUCUGCUGCAUUGCUUGUGUCCCUCUGGGGUCUGUGCAUGUGGCUUUUUUCGGACGGAGUUUCUUUGUCUGAAUGUUUACUUUGAGAAAAUUAGAGUGCUCAAAGCAGGCUUUCGCCUUGAAUAGUUUAGCAUGGAAUAAUAAAGUAGGACUUUGGUUCUAUUUUGUUGGUUUUAGGUACCAAAGUAAUGGUUAAUAGGAACAGUGGGGCAUCAUA